GGCCGCGUGGCGCAAUGGUAGCGCGUUAGAUUUCGGUAAGAAAUACUCUAAAGAUUCCAGGUUCGAUCCCUGGCGUGGUCG
rnacentral:tRNA from 1 species